rnacentral:misc_RNA from 1 species
UGGCUCUCGCAUCGAUGAAGAACGCAGCGAAAUGCGAUAAGUAAUGUGAAUUGCAGAAUUCAGUGAAUCAUCGAAUCUUUGAACGCACCUUGCGCUCCUUGGUAUUCCGAGGAGCAUGCCUGUUUGAGUCUCAUGAAAUUCUCAACCCACCCCGCUUUUGUGGGGUUCGGGCUUGGAUUUGGGGGUCGCUUUUUUGCUUGCUGGUCAAACCUCAUUGAUCGGCUCCCCUUGAAGGCAUUAGCCCAGGACCUUUUUGCCUCCCGGUCAGUUUCACGGUGUGAUAGUCUAUCAACGCCGAUGUGGCUGGUGUCUGGUGUGGCAUAGUCACGGUCCGGCUCUCUAAAAGGACUUGAAUGUCCAUUUCAUCAAUCUGAGCUCAAAUCAGGUAGGACUACCCGCUGA